rnacentral:rRNA from 1 species
UACAGAGGUCUCAAGCGUUGUUCGGAUUCAUUGGGCGUAAAGGGUGCGUAGGCGGCGCGGUAAGUCGGGUGUGAAAUCUCGGAGCUUAACUCCGAAACUGCAUUCGAUACUGCCGUGCUGGAGGACUGGAGAGGAGACUGGAAUUUACGGUGUAGCGGUGAAAUGCGUAGAUAUCGGAAGGAACAUCAGUGGCGAAAGCGACUUCCUGGACCAGUACCGACGUUCAGGCACGAAAGCGUGGGGAGCAAACAGG